AAAACUAAAUCAUUUGUUGAGAUAUUUAGCCAGAGCUUCAAUAGAUAAAAAGCAUAAUAUACUUGCAUCCGACUUGCAGCCACAUAGAUAAGGCAUUAUCUUAGCUGUGUGUAUUCCUGUAUCAAUUCAAAUCCCAUCUGAAUGUGCCCCUGGAAGUUGUACUCUUGAAUCUCCGUUCUUCUUUCCUACCUGUCCUUCUAUAUGCACAAAUGAGCCCACUAUAGUUUGCACCCAGACAAACAAGGAAUUACCUACAUGCACUGGAAACUCAGUUUACAGAACACUUUCUUCUUUGAGUGCAGAACAAGAUUGCCAAGACUUGUGGAUUAGAAAACAGAAAGAUUAUGAAGCAUAUUCUUAUUCAACAUUUUAUAAUCCCCUGAGACAGUUAAUGACUUAUAACUGUAUGCUUUAUCAAAACUGUGAGCUUGAGAAUGAGAAUUUGAAUCCUCCAAUGCUUGGCAAACUUACUGGACGACGAAAAUGUGUUCCACAGCCAAAGUGUGAAUUGCUGAGCUUAAAAGAGGGUCCUUUAGUAUCACAUUGGUCAACUUGCCUACCUAUAGUUGAUGUGUACUCUGAACAAGCAGAUCAUGGAACAAUUUGCUUCCGUUCUUUUCAAUGUGCAGAAGAAGAAAUGCUCAGGAAAGAAAUGCUGACCUGUGAGCAAGGGACCUGGACAAUAAAUAACUUACCAAUCAACCCAGACGAAGCAGAUAAAGACUGCAAAUGCCCAAACCUGAAAGUGUCUGCUCAGCCUGGGACUAAUCUAGCAUGCACUACUCCUGUCAAUAAAACCACUUUUGAUGAGGGUGGGAGAGAAUACUAUAUCCUCGGUGAAGAUGGCACUCAGAACACAUGUAUCCUUUUUUGUGAUAGUAAUUUCUAUGGAUCCCUUUCUUGCUCUGCCAAAGAUGGUAGACUUGGCUGGUGGCUAAAUGAUGACAACCCAGUCUCUGAUAGCAUAAGCUGCAAUAAUGGCUUUAAUGUAUUUAAAUAAAAAUAAUAAAAGUAGAGAAUUUUU